UAGUUGCUUUGCUUUGCAGUAAACAUUCGAUGUUUUAGAUAAAAAUGGUCUUCACUUCACAGCAAGAUGUGUUAUUGUUAAUCGUGUAAACACUAGCAGAAGUAGUGACUGCAAAUUUUAUAGAUUUCCAAAAGUAGUGUGGAAACAAGAACAGCGCAAUAAAUGGAUAAUUGCCGUAAGGACAAAAAAUCCCGAUGGAUCUCUAUGGCACCCAAUUUGCAGUGCUCACUUUAUCGGUGGUAGAAAGGCUGAUGAACAAGUCAGUCCCAGUUAUGUUCCAAGGAUAUUUCCCCCGCAGUAAAAAACAAAACGGAUUGACGAAAAUGCGGCAAUAUCGAGGUUUCAACGUUAUAUGGAACGAAGAAAC